rnacentral:misc_RNA from 1 species
UAGAAAAAAAAAAAAAAGGAAAAAAUAGAAAAAAAAAAUAAAUAAUGCUGAUUAAAAUAAAAUUACAAUUUCUUUUUUUUUUAUAUUUUUUUGGUUUAAAUAUGAGCUCAAAGGCCCCUCUUGUAGUGAAGUACCUAGAGGUAAUGUACAUGGCCGCAUGGACAGUGGCAUUUUUUUUAUUUAAUUCAUAUAUAAAUUCUUUUAUUUUUAUGUCAUUUUGAUUUUUUUUUCCUUUGGUUUUUGAGAUCGGUAAGAGAAAAGAACGAGAAAGUAAAAUUUUUUAAUUUUGGGGGUUUCUUGUUUUUUUGUUCUUUUUUUUUAAAUAAUGUGUUGGGUUGCCG